CAAUAGCGUAUAUUAAAGUUGUUGCGGUAAAAAAGCUCGUAGUUGGAUUUCUACCGAAGAUAGCCGGUCGGGUCUUCGACCUUGUAUCUGGUUUUGUCUUUGGUAUCCUCAUAGGGAACGUUUCUGCGCUUUAUUGCGUGGUGCGGUAUCUAUGACUUUUACUUUGAGGAAAUUAGAGUGUUCACGGCAGGCAAACGCCUUGAGUAUAUUAGCAUGGAAUAAUAACAUAGGAUCUUCGUCCUAUUUUGUUGGUUUCUAGGGCUAAGAUAAUGAUUAAUAGGGAUAAUUGGGGGCAUCUGUAUCAACGCGUCAGAGGUGGAAUUCUUGGAUUGCGUUGCGACAAACUACUGCGAAAGCAUUUGCCAAGGAUGUUUUCAUUGA
rnacentral:rRNA from 1 species